CCUAGAGCAGAUGAGCACAGAAUAUUUAGGCGAAAGCGCGAGGAGGGGGGAGCGCGGGGCAGGAGGAGUAUCUCGGCCGAGAAAAUUAUGCAUGCGUUAGGGAAGCUCUGAGAGAAUGGCUGUGGAAGCUCUCCACUGUGGCUUGAAUCCACGGGGUAUUGAUCACUCUGCCCGGGCCGAAGGCAUUAAACUGCAGAUUGAAGGGGAAGGUGUUGAAUCUCAAUCCAUUAAAAACAAAAAUUUUCAGAAGGUGCUUGACCAAAAAGGAACCCCCAAGCGACUGCCAGCAGAAGCUGAGACGGCUAAGUCGGCUACGGUGAAGCUGUCAAAACCAGUGGCUCUGUGGACUCAGCAGGAUGUCUGCAAGUGGUUGAAGAAACAUUGUCCGAAUCAGUAUCAGAUCUACAGGCGAGCCCUGCUGAGACUGACGGACAAAAAGCUUGAGCGGAUGGGGAUUGCACAGGAGAACCUCCGGCAGCAUAUCUUACAACAGGUGCUCCAGCUGAAGGUUCGCGAAGAAGUCAGAAACCUACAGUUACUCACACAAGGUAAUCACCAUUGGAAGGAACGGCAGCAUUACCUGAGCCCUGCCCUGCGCAGGAUAAUAAAACUUGCCGUGGCCAUGUGAGGAGCAGUAUACUAGAGGUCAUAGGAAGGUACUUGAGGAACUAACCUUACUCUGUUGCUGGUCCUUCCCAUUCUCCAAAAGGCAGUUAUGUCUCCAUUUAAGUCCUCACCUCGCAGUGCUGCCAGCCCCGCAGAAUUGCAUCAUCAUUCCCUUCGCGUCAGUUAGUUCUCCAACCAGCCUCAAUCGAGGGUUCUCCAUAAACAUGGUUAGCCUUCCAAGCUGCUGUCCUGCCAGUUGAUAUGAACGUGGCCUGUUGCUCACAGAAAGACUAACUCAUGGCACUGCCAGAAGAUCUCCGUGGAGCAUUGACAGAGUAACCAGAUUAACUGAAAAAACACCCAUUCAAUCAAGAUCAUGGGAUUUGGAAAAUCUUAGUUUGCUGUGGAUUUUUAAAAUGAGGUGCAUAAUAUACAGUGCCAACUUGUUCCAAGUGGUCAUUGGCAGACCAUUAGCUGGAAAAUUGCUUCCAGUUUUCAUCACUGUGCGUAACUGACGCUCCCUUAGGGGAGCUGUCUGUGCCCUUCACUAGAAGUCCUAUUUUAGCAUGGCAACUACUGGAUUAUUUUAUUAUGUGUGCAGAUGGCAUGAUGUAUUAGAAAAAAAAUCACAGCAGUUCUGCAAUCUCAGUGGAAGCGUUCAUGAUAUUCUGCUCUGGUAGGAAUGUAAACAUGUCUUGAUUAUGUUAGUUAUGAUGUCUAAAGGUAUUCUGUCCAACUCUUAAGCACUUUACAUGAGAACACGACACCAAAACCAAUCAGUACAUUCAGUACACGUGGGAAAACAAGUAUUCUCUCUUUUUUUUUUUUUUUUAAUAAAUCUUGUCCUCUUUCUGGCUCAGACUGUCCAAGACAAACUCCACUCUUGGUAUAUCCCCAGUCAUCUGUGGUAGAUUGGUGUAAACCUGGCCACAAUACUGUUAGACUUAACCUGUUGAUACUUCAUGCAACCAGCUGGAUUUCUUGCAGUGCCAAAGGGGAGUAGAAGUGGGCUGGUGGUUGAAAUAUCUUAGCUCUUGGUUUCUGGUACUGGGGCACAGUUUAGCACAUCCACAUGCAGACAAACACAGGCAGCUUCUAGGUGGCCAGUGUACAUAGUCACUCCUUCUAUAGAAGAGUGUUUUCAAGGAACAAAAGGGGGUGGGUUUUUAAUCAAAGACCAUGGUGGGUUGAGGGUAAGGGCAGCAGAGUGCAGGUUUCCCAUGUGGUCUGACUUUACAACUUUAGAAAACUUUCUAGGUCAAGUUUAAAUCACAGAUCUCUGAAGAGGGGAAACAGCAAGCGUCCCCCCACGAGCCUGAAGAAGGAAAAGGGCCCAAUCCACACUAGGUUCCUACCUCAGUAGAGAACCUACUAGUCCCCUUUAAUCCUUUCUGGGAUUAUAUCCACAAUAAAUUAUUUGUUUUUUACUAUGUCUUACAGCAAAGCACAGUCCUGAGAAACUAGUCAACCCAGUUAUUGCUUGUCUUUGGGCAUUAGAGGGAUAUCCAUAUUGACUGACCCUACGUAAUGCUUUAGCUUCCCUCUCCCCCCACUGGAAAUAUAAACUUGGCUGAAUCAAAAAUUCAGCAAAUAUGGCCUGGGUACCCACAAUCCCAAUCUGGGCCCGACAGGUAUCAGGCUUUUCUUUAAAUAUGCAUACCAACCCUGUGACCCUGCCAGCACAAGGAAGUUUGGCAUUUUAGGGGGGUCUCCAUACAUGCAGUCAUAGUCUGCUCUCCCCUGGGGGGGGGAUCUCAAGAAAUGCACAGCACAUUGGAAGAUGCCCCCACCUGAGAUUUGGAAAGCUGAUAGGGGAAGGGAAAGAAAUGUGAUGCAGGUGAGUCACCUCGUAGGAUGACUCACCACAAACCUGUCAGGCUGUGUUGCCAAAGAAGGGGGGCUUCCAAGAGGGAACUGGGAGGAGUUUCAGUCACCACCAAGAUCUGGCCUUUCGACAGGUCAGCACCAGGACCAUCAGGCUCUCACAGACCAUAAUUUUUUACAAAUCCAGAAUUAGGCGGCCAAACCCUGGCUGCCAGUGCCCCUAAAGAUAACAUUCCCAUCUCUCCUGCCCACCUCCUGAGUUUCAGUUCCGACAGCAAGGCUUCCUUCUUCUUUGAUCCUUUCUUUUAUUUAGCAAGGCUUUGUUGAGCACCUACUAUCUGCCAAGCAUUGUGUUGGGGUAACAACAGUAUGAGGCCGAUUCACCAUGCCCUUCUGAAACCAUAUCUCCUCCCCCACAAACGCUGCCCCCAUCCCAGCUUUUCCACAAUGAAAACAGAAUUCAGACACCUGAAUUCACCCUCGGCCAGAGUAACUUCACAAAAUGCACACGGCGGCAGGCAGUUCCCUUAGCCGAGGAAGGAGACAGUGGAGGAAGAGGUAGUAGCAUCAGGCCACAUGUUUGCAUCCUUGUGUAUGGCCAACCCUUCCCGGGCCCAGACUUAGCUGGUAAGAGCUUCCCAAAACAGCUUUCAGUUGCGUUCCUGGAUAUUCACUCUGGUCAUCUGUAUUCCCUUCCUGGGGAAUGACUGCUGGUCAUUCUGCUGGAUUCUCUGAAGCUCCAGUUCUCAACGGAGUCCUGGGGACCCAGAAUAGGGCCUCCGGAGUCCGUAAGAACUCCUGUCAGGAGCUGAGAUACUGGGAAUUAACUGGCUUAUGAAUUCAGGGUCAUUCUAAGACUAUGGCUAACCACCUUGGGAGACUGGACCCACCUUAUGGUAUGGAUGGUCAUUAAAUGAUGGAGGUUCAUCCUUCCUUCCUUUGGCUUUCACAAAAUAUGUUCUGAACAAUUAAAUAAGUAGAGUUUCCUAGUCUUUUUUUUUUUUUUUUUUUUUUUAGUCAGAAGUAUACUGACAGAUUAUUAAAAGGUGAUGGGCAGGAGUGGAGAUGGGAAAAGGCAAAUUUGAAGACCCAUGAAAGAACCCAGUUGAAGAUGGCAUCUCUAUAAAUGCCUUAAUUCCUGGCACACCAGGUAUUUGUGUAUGAGCUUCAACGUGUUUUCCAAACUGUCGACCUCAUUUUGAAAUCAUUUGGGGGGAUGGUUUUGGAAACAUGGCAGCAUAAAAAUCUGAGCAGUCACUUGGUAAACCAGCAAAAUGGAGAAAUGACUUCCUUCACAGCCUUUGGGUUCUUUGUUCCGUGUUGAUCCACAAUUUCCCCAUCAUUACUUCCUGCUGUGCUGCACCUUCUUCCCAAGAUGUGUGGAGGAAAUUUUACCUCCCAGAAGUUCAGGAAUGGCUGUGGGGAGUUUUGUUUAAGGAGGCAGCGGGAAACCAGGAGGUAAGGGAUAAAUAUUUUGAUGUCUAAGGGCUAUAAACAGUUGAUGCUUAACUUUUCCUUUUAUUUAAACCUCUGCUACACCUUUUAUUGAAAGGCUGACACCCACACUUGUGCAGGAAAGACACUCUUGGGAAUGAACAGAAAUCAAUAAUUAUCAGACUCUGGGGUGCCAAGGGGAUUAGCUUGUUCCAGCUUCAGAACUGAAUUUAAAAUGCAGAGCAUCGGUGGUUCUGCUAGGGUGAAAAGCAAAUCACUUCAGUAGUUUAAGACAUACCUAGGGGAUAGAAAUCCUAUAAACUUUCUCAUGGGUAAUGGCAUCCGUUCAGACCCCUGCUCAGGCUCUAUGAGCUGUGUAACUGCACAUUUGACUUCUACCUCCACAAUAGGGGAAGUAACCCCGAGUUCUCUCCAAAGUCACUUCUAGUUGCUCAGACAGAGGUUAACAGUCCUUAAUCUGAGGGAGUUCUGCCAUUUUUUAACACUCAAGGGGAAAAGGAAUAUCAACCGUACUGAAGAAUAUAAACUAAGGAUAGAAUCCUCUAAUGGAUUUACCCUGGUGUUACUUGCGAAGGUUUUCUUUGUCUGCAAAUGUCACCUGAUUGAUUUUGGAGAAGAACAAUAAAAGUCUCUCGGAAGAGAAGUUUUCAAGACCCCCUUAGCACUUCAGCUUUACCCAAACCUCCUCUUCCCUGUGCCAUUAGCUGCUUCAUUCUUUGUGAUGUUUUCCCCUACAUUCUUUAGAGUAAUUUUGUUACUUGACAACUAGACUUAAAGAUUGCCGUAGAAUCUUUUUAAAAUCUGAUCUUUGAAAGUGACAUAAAUUCUUUUAUGCCUUAAAAGCUGUUUUUAUUCACCUCUCCCACAACCCCCUCCACCCCACUCUUUUGCUUUUUUUUUUUUUUCUUUUAAUCUCUUAACACAAUUCCUUGGGUAGAUUUUGAGUAUUCUAUAAAGAACUCAAACAGAAAAACUUAGCCAUCCCCUUUUCCCCCAGCACUGACUCAUAAUUCCUUCUUCUGCUUGAUCUUGGUUAAGGCUUGCUGCCCCAACAGCAGUGGGCUGUGGAUUCCCAUCUCUAGCGAGUGACCGGUCAAAACUGCUCAUCCAAAAAGAACCCCUGAGAUUACGAGGGAGGACAGCCCGCGGCGAGAUGCUUCUGCUCAGGGCACAGCUGGAGACUUGAUUUCAAAGACAAAGGAGGUGAUUUCUGCUCCUUUGUUUCUUUAGAUCUGCAUCUCAUCCUGUAGCCAGAGAACUAUCUUAUGAAUUCUGCUUUAUCAAAUUGCAUGAUUCCUGGUGCCAUUGCACAGCUUCAGGUCAGACAGAACCCCGUUCUCAUUAUUUUGCUCUGGUACUCUUGUGGGGAGACCCUGACAUUCUUCUGAUGGUGAAUCAGCGGUGGGAAGCGUGAGGAAAAGUUGGCCCUGUGCACACGGAGGUUAUGCCACGCCUUAAUAAAAAGAACAAAAUAGAUCCUUCCCUGGACAUUCUCAUGUGGGAAGGUGGCCAGAGGGAUGGUAUCAAUGCUGGUUUUCUCCUGGCCAUCAUCUUGGUCCUGCCGGGAAAAUUCGGGGUUGGGGUGUGGAGCACCAUUUCUAAGAUCUAAAAAUUUUAAGAUGAAAUUCACCUAUAAGAUAAAUGUAAAGGGGAAAGUGCCAGUGAAGAUGGGACCAGUUUUAGACCUCCAGCCCAAGAGCACAAAGACUGACAAAUGACUUCCCCAGCCCAGCAGAAAAUGGGUGUAAAAAGCUUCGUAAGACUGGAGUUUUGAGUACCACGUGGGGCAAUUUUACAAUCUUGAAGAGCCCCAAGCAUACUUACUUCAGAGCCUCCCUUCUCCAAUUACAUCAAGCACAAAAAGGCACCAACAACAUACACCUAAUAAAAUUUCAAAGUAACCCUAUGACUUACACCGAAUUGCAGUUGACUGGUUGACAUAAUGUUAAGUGUUGUAGAUACAUUCUUUGUGAUUAUACAAUAUUCUUUGCAUAUUUCGGAGCCAGUGGUUCAGGGGUUUCAUUUCUUUAAUGGCUUGUUUUGUUGCCGUUGUUGUUCCAAACCUCCAACAUUUCCAGGAGCCUUAGAAAGGCUCUUAAACCCAGGCCUUUUUGCCUCCAGUGCAGAGUGAUAGAAACAGCCCUACUGAUGUGAAUGACGUGGAGACUGUUACAUUAAUCCAGUUGGAGAUGCUAACACCCAAAACAAUGAAGACACUGAAGACUCUGUUGGUUGCUUUCUGCAUUGCUUAGAACCUUUUAAAUGUCAGUUGUUUGGAUCAAAGGAUAUAAACCGGCUGUGCUCCAUGUGGCUUUGCCCUGUUAGCACACACAGUGAUCAAGUGUGGAAUUCUAAGCUGGGUUGAUACGCAAGAGCUCACAGAUCUGUUUUGUGUGGUUGUAUUUAAAUCCCACCCUCCCCAAAUUCUAUAAAAACGUAUUCAGGAGCUUUACUCUGUAAAAAAAAAAAAAAAAAAAAAAAAAAAAAAAUUCUAAAACAAGAGAUUCUUAUUAGGUCAUUAUUUCUCCUGUGGUCCGGGAACGGAUUUUGUGACAUAACUCUGAAGAAAUACUUGCUCGCCAUUAAAUGCAAGUGUCUGGUGGUUGCUGUGUUCUACAGAUUGAUGGUGGCCCUCUCCCAUUCCACAGAGGAAGCUGACCUGGCCUCCCCGUAAAAUAGCACAAUGACCAUGAAGACACCUUUUGAAGCUCUGGGUAGUCUCCCUAUUCAUGCAUAAUUUCAAGAAUAUGAUUUGGACUGAGCCCUGCCAUGGUCUUUGAUUAUGCAACCCCUGAAUCAAUUUGAAUUCUUUAUAUAUAUAUAUGUGUGUGUGUGUGUGUGUGUGUGUGUGUAUACACACACACACACACACACAUAUAUUUCCAGUAUUUUUUAUUGACCACCAUCAGCUGCAUUUAGUGCAUUUGCAUUGGCAGCUGCCCGCUGACUCAGUGGCAGCUGUGAACAGUUCCCAUACCUAUUUCCCAUACAGGAGAGGACCGAGAAUGUUUUCCCACACACCAGCUGCAGAAGUUUGGAAGUGUGUGACCAAGUUCUUUUUCACAUCAACAGGCCUCUGUUUAUAGGAGGUAAACUUAAAGAGAAUUGGGUCAGGUUGAGAGGUGGGGAGGGGCUGGGGGAGGGCGCAUAGUGGGGUUUGAACACUGGAACCUUUGUCUUUUCCAUUGUAAUGCAACUCUCAACUCCAAUUACCAGAAAGAGAAGCAUUACCCUCUUCAGUGAGUGUUGGCCACCCCCCACCCCGCUACCCGGGAGUCGUUGGGCUUCCACAUGCUUAAACUCACAUGUAGGCAAUUCGAAGGCUCUCUGGGCCUCAGAAUGGUUUAUGCACCACUACCUUUCCUCAGCCAAUAGAAAAAUGCUAUCCCUACAAGGCCAUGCUUGAGGAGACCAUGGCUUGGCUAGUGAAGUUCACAUUGCAUUGAGCUGAAUAAUGUUAGGCUCUGGACUUUGCACUGAAAGCCUCAGUCAUGACUGGCGCGGAAGCAACUAGUCUGCUGAAAAGCCAAGCCAGCACAAAUAUUUUGAAACUAAUUUCUAAAACUUUUGUGCCAUUAAACCAUGCUACUGUAGUUCCAAUUAAUCCAACUCUUUAAUAUCAUUAGCCACUAAAUUAAAUAGCUGUACCCAAAACUUUAGAAAAGAUCAAUAUGGUAACAUAAUUACAUAUUAGCAGUAAAACGUACCUGAGAAAAGAAAAUAUUGAUCUACUGUGGUUUAUACUUGAGUUAUUCUUAGGCCUUUGUGGAUCUGGCACUGCUCUGAGAAAGGGGAAGAAGAGGUUUUGAAUUCAAGAAUACUUGGAUUCAAUAGAAACUGCCCAUCUCUCCGGGCUUCUGCUCAUCUGUCCCACCUCAGCAGAUGGGGUGGUUUGCAGGCUAAAAUGAGCUAAGGGAAGGUGUCCUGUACCAUUAAUAUAAAGCAGUGACCUGGGCUUUAAUUGUGAGUCCUUUCUCUUUAUGAUUUCCCCUCAUAGCUGGUAUUCCUGAGGGUCCAUCCUGAGAUUAGAACAGAAAGAAUGAUAAAGUAAGAAUCAACAUCUUGCAUACACACACAAGCUUUUUCUAAUACAGGGUAACUGGUCUGCAGAGCCCGUGGCCUAGGCACCCGUGUAUCUCCACUUCUCUGCCUCUAAAAGGCUUACCAUUGAGCUAGCCAAGGGAGAGAGCCUCAGGUUUGGCUUAGUGCAGGGGAAAAUCACCAAUCCCCGGGUUGGGGAAGACGAGUGAAAGUGUGAAGCUGACAAACUGAGGGUCACGGGAAGCAGAGAGCCACAUGGAACUUUGUUGACUAGCUACAGUAUAUUAGUAUUUGUCCUAGGCAAGAAAGAAGAAGAAAAAAAUCACCCCAUGUGAACUGAAUGGAAGACCGGUGUUCUCAGUAGGGUAUGAGGGGGGGAAAAAGCUCAUGAAAAAACUGGUUCACAGUCUUACAAACACUAACAAACGUGGCUAUAAAAGCACAUUUCAUAAUACAAAAGCCUACAUAGAGGGUAGAAAUUUUUAUAGCUUCCUUAAGUGAGUAGUUAAACCAGCAGUCUAAAUUCUCUUAGUCCCCAAAGAGUGGUUAAUUAAAUAAGUAUUUUCCUUAUCCAUUGCCCACAUCUGUGGGGUUUUUUUUCCCCCCUCUAUGCACCCUAGAGAAACUCCCAGGACUAGGCUUAGGAGGACUCAAGCAAGUUACGUGGUAAAAUCAGAGUGCCUUUUCUGUUGGAUGCUCACUUUGGUUCCCUGGGUUCCCAGGGCAUACAAUGUUUAGAAACUUUUCUCUAAACAUAAGAAUUACUGUGCACCACAAUCUUGAACCAACAAUUUCCACAUCUUAAGCAGCUAUCAACUUGCCAAUUCCCUCUGGGUCUCCUUUAUAUUUUCUUAUAAUGUUUCUUUCUGUUUGGGGUUGUCGUCAAAAAGAGUUGGGGGGCAUGAUUCUUUUUAAAUUGAUAGAAAUGAAACUGUACAGAUUUUUGCCCCCUUGUAUCCGUGAGCAUGAUCUCUACUGGGCUUGAAAAUCUGCUUUAUCAUUUUGUAUAUUGGACUAUUUUGUAUUCAGCAUUACUUGAUUCCUUAUGUGCAUGGCAAUGUAUUAAAAUGUGGGAUUUCUAUUACCGUGUAAAAGCAUUUUGAUUCUGAUU